CAUAAGUAAAUGAAUUGUAUCACUUUAUUUUAUUCCCAUCUCAUCCUGUACAACAUAUAGUCAUCCUCAAAGAAUCUCGCCCCUCCAAAGUAAUAUCUAACACACCCGUCUCUGUUCCCACAUAACUAGGGGAAAAUGAACAACUGCGGAUAAUAAAUUAAAAAAAUGCAGGGAAAUAAAUAUCACAAGCUCACAUGUAAAUAAUCAAACAAACACACAUAUGUGACUAAACUACAACGAGUCACCAGAAAGCACAUAAAACACACCGGAAACGAUCGCAUUCCAGCAGCAGCCAUAGAAAGAUUCCGGUGACCCGUAUCAUGAUUCAGGGUUAUACACGCCUGAAGAUCGCAAAAAGGGACAUCAUGGAGGAAAAAAUCACAGCCCCAAGAGCUGGAGAGGCAAGGACCGAGCCAUUUUCCAUUGGUGCAGGGGCGCUAGCGCUGUCCUGUGCUGAAACUGCAGCUAUUGCAGAAGAGAUGACAAGUAGAAGAAGGAUCGCAGAGGAAACCUUUGACGAAUCCAUGCCUAAAUCGAAAAGAAAUGAGGGGUUUGAAGUUUAGAAGGAGAAAGGAUAAUUGGGUCUCUCUGUCUCAGAACGAUUUGAUGGUUUUUGUGUGUUUUAUGGUGGAAUCGGGUUUCAGGGCAAUUUAUAGAGGGAGGUGAGAGAGGGUUUUUGGUUUGUGAAUUUCGAA
rnacentral:lncRNA from 1 species